rnacentral:lncRNA from 1 species
GUUUGGUGGCCCUCUGAGUCAUCUCUUCUCCUCACGGGACAUCCCAGCAUCUUCAUGGAUCCUCAGAGGCACGGGGGGCCACCCUGACCACCCUCCUCAGAGUGAACCUCUGUCUAUGUGUCCUUCUUCAUAUGUGGUGGCCAGAAACCAGAUCAUGUGCACAGAACAGACAGGCUCUGGAAGAGUGAUUGCAAAGUGGGGACCUGGAGGCAGCCAGCGGGGAGUCCUGAGAAGUACAAGACCCAGAGGUCUAUUCAGAGAGAAACCAAACAGUCCAGAGACGUGGUGGCCACAUUCCCCUCAGCACUGUGAGAAACAACUCUGUUUUACAGAUGGAGAGAGGAAAUGGAAUCCCGGCACAUGGAGUGAGGGCAGAAAUAAAGAUACAUCACCCCGCCCUUCAGAAAUCAGGGGAAGGGUGGUGCCAGGGAGUCCUUUCAAAGGCCUGGGAUCACCACAUGCAGGCAGGACCAUGCCACAUCUCCCCGCCUUUGGGUGGUCUCGACAAUGCUACAGGGCCUAUGUUACAGACGCAGAAAGCUCAGAGGGGUUAAAUGACAACUCGGUCACACAGAGCUCCAUCAGCAGUGCAGCCGGAACUCACACCCAGGUCUGCUGACUCCAGGACCAGUGUUCUGGGCCCCAGAAGCCCCCGUGGGACUUCCUGUGCACACUACCCAACAAAAUGAAAACAUCC